UCUAUCAAUAUCAAAAUCAAAAUCAAAAUCAAAAUCAAAAUCAAGCUUCUUUCUUCUUCUCCACCCGCCGACCAACACCUCUCUACUCCAUCUCCUCCAGCCCGCCACCACCUUCAAUCGCCUCUUCUUCGUUUUCUAUUUCUUGAUCUUGUUUAAGAUGCCACCAAAGAAACAAGAGAUUUCUAAAGAAAAAUCAAAGCUAAAAAAGAGGCGCAAAGCGUUAAACACAUCAUAGCAUUAUGCCGAAACGUUGAAGAUGCACAAAAAAGUUCCAUAGCAUUACAAGAAGUAGCAUGGAAGCUUCAGAAUUACCAUAGAAAUGAGUUGUUUUCCGAAUUUGGGGAGAUCAGUCGAGAACCCUCUCAAUCUCUAGCUAACCAAGACGAGAAUAGCCAACAUGUUGCUGAAAGUGAGGAUCUCGAACAAAGGGGAGUUCCAAGAUCCACAAGAGCACAUAAACCAAUUCAAAGAGAUGUAUCACUUGUUUAUAAGAGGGAAAAAAGAAAUACCAAAUGGAUAUAAUUGGUUAUUGUUUGCAUGUGUUAACUGUUCUUCAGUAUACUUCAUAAUGGUUUCGUUAACUGUUCUUAAUAAAAUUUUCUUUUACAAUGGUUCUA